rnacentral:lncRNA from 1 species
AUGGGAUGGGAUGGGAUGGGAUGGGAUGGGAUGGGAUUGGGACCUGGCACUGCGUCCUUGUGAGCUCUGAGUGGGUUUUGUCCCUGCUCAUGAUGCUGAGAGCCUUGGGGAUAGCUGAACACCCAGCAUGGAGUGAACAGGUGUGUGAGGUGUCUCUGGGAGCACACAGGUGUGUGAGGUGUCCCUGGGAGCACACAGGUGUGUGAGGUGUCUGUCAGGGCACACAGGUGUGUGAGGUGUCUCUCAGAACACACAGGUGUGUGAGGUGUCUCUGGGAGCACACAGGUGUGUGAGGCAGUCUCCACCUGCUCCUGGUGAGGCUGGAUCUGCUGUCAGCUGUGUGCUCUGAGCAGAGCCCAGCCUCCAGCACUGUUAUUUUUAUGUCACCCCACUGGCACUCAGGCUGUUUUCACGGGGAGGAGAAGCCAGUGGGUAAAUUUUACCUCCUGUGCGUGUAGAGGCUGCAAACACUUGCACAAUUUCCUGUGAGAUAGCUGGAAAUUCUUAGUUCAUCUCUUUUCAUUCUGUAACUCCCUCCCUUUUCCCUCUGCCUGCUCUGUGGAUACCUCUGAUACAUCACCUUGCUGUCCAUCCUCCCUGCUCUGCUCCCAGCCCCCUGCUCUCCUCUGUGUGCUGCUGAAUGCACCCCAGCCCCGGGUGGGAUGUGGGGCAGGACAGGGAUGUGGGGUAGGACAGGGAUGUGGCUGGGGACUGUCCUGGCUCUCCCACCAAGGCUUGUCCUGCCUAACAGCCGAGCCUGGAUCACUCUGGCUGAGCACAGCAGAGCUCAGCAGAGCCUCCCAGAUUUAUAACCACAGAGCUGGGUGCUUUUCAUGCUGAUCUGGGGGUCCUGCUCUCCUCAUCUGUGGCACUGCACAGUGCAGGCAGGAGGCUUUCAGUGGGACACCCAGGGUAUUUUGGGAUAAAGGAACAGCUGGGAUACCCAGGCACUAUCUGGAGCAGAACCAUGCCAGUGAAGGGCUCUUGGUAGAAAUAACCCAGCAUUAUUUUUUCCCAGGGUCCAACAUUCAUGGAACCAACUCCCCGAGCAGAGAAUCAAAUGCAGAAAGAAGCAACAAGGCUUUGGCAGUGAUUAAAAUACUUUCAAGCUGGAUUGGGAAGAUCUGGCAGUGCUUGGGAGAUUGUGGAAGGUCGUUGUGGCUGGAGCUGGAGCAUCCUCAAAAAUCCGCCUCACCUCUGGGCAGCAGUGGAAAACAUGGAUCUGCCCUGGCAGAUUCCCACUGUUCUUCCCUGGGAUCUGCCGAUGGAGCUACUCCCCCCUCUCUGCUGUUCCACUACCAGCUCUCCCAAGUUUCCCUGGAGAAAGAAACCAGGAUGCUCCUUAAGCAAAGGAUCUGUGCCCAGGACACCUGAUGGAGCAUCGUGGAUGAGGUGAGUUGUCUCAGCUCCAAAAUGAGAUUCUGUGCUUUCAGUAUGGCCACACAGAGAGGCUCUGGCUUCCACAAGCAUUUUGCAAUUAUUAGACAAUAAUUCAGGCUCUGUUCAUCUCCCCCAUACACCAGAAAAACCCAAUAAUGCUCUCUGCAUAGCAGGAUAAUUACCGUGCUCCCAAGGCUCUUGGGAGAAGUUACCUGUGCUGAUGAAAUUAAGGGAGCUGAAACCAUUCCCCAGGGGUAGGAUGGGUCCAGAGGGUGAACAAACCUGUGUGAGAUGCUGUACAACACGGAGCUGCACUUCCACCAGCGCCAGCAAACCUUUCCCUGCUGCUGGGAGGGAUCUCCAUCUCCACCAGCACUUCCAGAGAGGAUUCCCUUCUGUUCCCCUCUCAGGGAGGAUCCCACCAAAGCUCCUUUCACACUGAGAGCCCCAAGCAGCCAUCAGAUUCCCCAGAGGGUGCAGCACUGCCCGAGGCAGCUCCAGUUCCAUCAGCAGUGUAUCCCUGAGGAAAUGAAGGGGAUGGGCCAGUGAUCUCAGUUGCUCUCUUGGAACCAUUAUUGUUGAACUGGUAAAUAUUUCCUUUUAAAUGCUUACAUGCUUUCAAAAAAUUUGCAGGGCUUAGUGGGAACAAAUAUUCCCAGGGGGCUGUAUCCUGCCAUUCAUUUGCACAUCAGAUCCCUGCUAUCUUUAAGAAUGGUUCUGUGCAUGGGCAGGCGCCUAAGUCAUUUGAGAAACAAUAACCCUCUGUGCUCUAAUUUUCCAGACAAAAAUGUAGACAAAACAAGUGGCAAUUUGGCACAAACCGAGCCACUUUGAUAAAUAACCGGGCAUUUAAGAGGAGAAGUGUGUAGGCAGCUGGGCUCGGGCUGCCCGAGCUGUCCCAGGGCAGGUGCUGGGCAGCCGGAGCUGAGCCCUGGGUGUCACCCUGGAGAUUCCCUCUGCAGCUGGGGGGCUUCCAGGGAAUUCUCUAAGCAUC